GUCGACGCCCGGUACGACCAAUACGAUGGACAUAAUCCUCAGAACAGGAGGGGUAGUCAAAAUUGAUGACAAACUUGACGUCUUCAACGUCUGAAAUGAAGAGUUUGCAUUAGUCGGCCGGUCCUUCGCGAGAUUUCUGGGUUGAUUGAGGACAGACAUGGGUUAAGAUAGGUAAUAGUGUCGCGAAGAUAAUGAAACGCCGCAAAUCAUUACCGGACGACGUAAAUUACGGAAAAUCAUAACGUUCAAUACGCUCUCCAAGAAGCUACGUGAUAAUUCGUGCUCUAUCGCGAUGCUUUUUGUAUUAAUAAUAAUAGAAAAAUACUGGUUGUAAAGGAUUCUAUUGAAAGCAACGAUUGCUUAAUGUUUUUUUUUUACAAUUUAAUUGAGUAGAGAGUAUUCUUUUAUAUUUCUUCAGAGAGCGCUUAAGAUCAUACAGCACAAGACCAUGAAAGAAAAACAAACCGUUGAACCAAGAACGAUCCUGAUCUUCCUUUUCUAAAUAUCGCGUUGACGUAUGCUCGUAUCUUAUCAUGAAUUUUCCAGGAAAACAGGAAAUGUAUUUUUCCGAUUCGAAAUUUUUUUCAACGAUAUCUAGAAAAAGAGACCAGAAUCGUGGCACAACAAGAUCAUGAUACAGUAGUUAGUAUGAUGAGAUGCGAUUGAUGUACGGUGUAAUUGUCACGGGAAUUAGAAGGACGAAGGAUCAGAAAAUGUACAAAUUUAGAGGAACAGACUUGGUGGGCGAGUGUUUCGCUAGCAACGUACGGGCAGGGCCUGGCUAUUUGCGCUCGCUCCAGCUACUGCCUCCGCCACUCUGUCGCUACAGGCGCAGGGCGCAGGGCGCGCUAACAGAGGCUCUGGCAUAUCUGCUAUCACAUGCCACCGCCUCAACGGACCAACGUUGUUGGUAGUCUGAUUAGCUUGAGCGUGCCAGCGCAGGGGACUCUAUUCUGGCAACAACGACCUGGCCAGCCAGCCCGGAUGGCGUACAGCGCAGCGCAGUAGGACUGAUAUCCAGUAUGUAGGUAGG
rnacentral:lncRNA from 1 species